UACGUAGGUGGCGAGCGUUGUCCGGAAUUACUGGGUGUAAAGAGCUCGUAGGCGGUCUGUCGCGUCGGCUGUGAAAACCCGGAGCUCAACUCCGGGCCUGCAGUCGAUACGGGCAAACUGGAGUGUUGCAGGGGAGACUGGAAUUCCUGGUGUAGCGGUGAAAUGCGCAGAUAUCAGGAGGAACACCGGUGGCGAAGGCGGAUCUCUGGGCCGAUACUGACGCUGAGGAGCGAAAGCGUGGGGAGCGAACAGG
rnacentral:rRNA from 1 species